rnacentral:rRNA from 1 species
GAAUUAAAUGGCCGCGGUAAUUUGACCGUGCAAAGGUAGCAUAAUCAUUAGUCUAUUAAUUGUAGGCUUGUAUGAAUGGUUGGACGAAAUAUUGACUGUCUCAUUUUUAUUUUUAGAAUUUAAAUUUUAAGUUAAAAUGCUUAAAUUUUAUUAUUGGACGAGAAGACCCUAUAGAUCUUUAUUUUUUUUUUAUUAUUAUUGUUUUGUUUAUAUUUUUUAUAAUUUAUAAAAUAUUUUGUUGGGGUGACAUAAGGAUCUAUAAUUAACUCCUUAUAAUUUUAAACAUUUAUUUUUGAAUAAUUGACCCUUUAUUAUUGUAACAAGAUUUANAUACCUUAGGGAUAACAGCGUAAUUCUUUUUGAGAGUUCAUAUCGACAGGGGAGAUUGCGACCUCGAUGUUGGAUUAAGAUUAUAAUUAGGUGUAGGUGCUUAAUGGUUAGGUCUGUUCGACCUUUAAAAUCUUACAUGAUCUGAGU